UACGUAGGGUGCGAGCGUUAAUCGGAAUUACUGGGCGUAAAGUGUGCGCAGGCGGCCGAGCAAGUCGAGUGUGAAAUCCCCGGGCUUAACUUGGGAAUUGCGCUCGAAACUACGUGGCUCGAGUGUGGCAGAGGAAGGUGGAAUUCCACGUGUAGCGGUGAAAUGCGUAGAGAUGUGGAGGAACACCGAUGGCGAAGGCGGCAUCCUGGACCGGCAUUGACGCUGAGGCGCGAAAGCUAGGGGAGCAAACGGG
rnacentral:rRNA from 1 species